ACUUCAUCAGCUCAACGUCCUCGUAUCCCACUCCCUUGCCCUUCCGCCCUUGUGAGUUCCCCAGGUUCUGCUAUUUAUCAAGGUAUGUAAUAUUGCUGCUGCCCUUUUAUAAAUAACUCAAUAGAUUUUGAUUCUGCCGGUUCCAUAUUUGAAUAUUGCUGCUGCCCUUUUAUAAAUAACUCAAUAGAGAUUUUGAUUCUGCCGGUUCCAUAUUUGAAUAUUGCUGCAUAAAUUAUGCAAGUUUGUUGUCCAUGGCUUCAAUCUUGCAUUUUUGGCAUUUCAUAUGUUGUAGUGUAGCCUCUUUCUCCAACCUGCAGAAUACUAGCGAAGCCUGCAGCCUACUAAACAUUUGAGCCUUGA
rnacentral:lncRNA from 1 species